UACGGGAGGCAGCAGUGGGGAAUAUUGCACAAUGGGCGAAAGCCUGAUGCAGCUAUGCCGCGUGUAUGAAGAAGGCCUUAGGGUUGUAAAGUACUUUCAUCGGGGAGGAAAAAAACAAAACUAAUAAUUUUAUUUCUUGACGUUACCCGAAAAAGAAGCACCGGCUAACUCCGUGCCAGCAGCCGCGGUAAUACGGAGGGUGCUAGCGUUAAUCAGAAUUACUGGGCGUAAAGAGCACGUAGGUGGUUUUUUAAGUCAGAUGUGAAAUCCCUGGGCUUAACCUAGGAACUGCAUUUUGAAACUGAAAUACUAGAGUAUCGUAGAGGGAGGUAGAAUUCUAGGUGUAGCGGUGAAAUGCGUAGAUAUCUGGAGGAAUACCUGUGGCGAAAGCGGCCUCCUAAACGAAUACUGACACUGAGGUGCGAAAGCGUGGGGAGCAAAACAGGGAUUAGAUACC
rnacentral:rRNA from 1 species